UACAAUUAAGAGUCUGCUUUGGCAAAAGCAUAGAGUUCAGGCUGGGGUUGAGCACUUACUCUCACACUCAAUAGUUACGUGAACUUGGGGCAGACUUUUAACUCUGUGACCAACAAAGAAAAUAUAGUUAAAUUAUAACACGCUGAGUGGGAACCUAGAGUGGUUAAGAAUUCUGGAGUUCCCUCCCUCAUCUUACUUGUUGGAGUGAAUUGUCAAAAGUCUUAGGUGCAAAAAUAGCACCUUUCUAAUAGGACUUGUUUGAUUGAAUGAGAUAGAGCUUGUGUCUAGCAUGUGAUAGGUAUGCAGGAACUGAGCACUGGAGAUCCCAGCCUGGUGUAACAGAAGCUAU